GCUGGGUGUGGUGGCACAUGCCUGUAGUCCCAGCUACUUGGGAGGCUGAGGUGGGAGGAUCGCUUGAGCCUGGGAGGUCGAGGCUGCAGUGAGCUGUGAUUGCACCACUGCACUCCAGCCUGGGUGACAGAGCGAGACCCUGUCUCAA
rnacentral:SRP_RNA from 1 species